rnacentral:lncRNA from 1 species
UUGUAUGUCCGUAGUUGAUGUUUCUGAUAUAGGUGUUGUCUAUUUGUAUGUCCGUGGUUUAUAAUUCUGAUAUAGAUGUUGUCUAUUUGUAUGUCCGUAGUUUAUGUUUCUGAUCAUUGUGUUGAUUGUUUGUAUGUCCGUAGUUUAUGUUUCUGAUACAGGUGUUGAAUGGUUUUCUGUAUGUCUGUCCGUAAUUUAUGUUUUUGAUCAAGGUGUUUACUGUUUGUAUGUCUGUAGUUUAUCUUUUUAUUUUAUCAAUGUAUUGUCUGUUUGUAAACUGUCGUUUUGUUUUUCGAUCAAAGUGUUUGUCUGUUUGUCUGUCCGUAGUUUAUGUUUUUGAUCAAGGUGUUUACUGUUUGUAUGUCCGUAGUUUAUAUGUUUUUUCGUCAAUGUAUUGUCUGUUUGUAAACUGUCGUUUCGUUUUUUGAUCAAGAUGUUGUUUGUUUUUCCUUGGCGAGUGAAUAUUUAGUGUCCUCGUGAUAUACUCUAUCUGCUAAUAUGUUCACAAUUUACAAUGUAAACUGCUAAGUUUUAAUGAUUAUCAACUUGAACCAACUUUCUAAAAAAAACAUUAAAACAUAAAAGAAAAAAA